GUUGUAGGGGUGCGGCGGGGGUAACCCGUGCAGUAAGAAACCACAAGUGUAGCGGAACGGUCCUGGGAAGGCCGGCCAGAGCGGGUGAAAGCCCCGUACGCGAAACGCCUGUGGCUGCAUGGCCGCACUACCUGAGUACGGCGGGACACGAGAAAUCCUGCCGGAAGCAGGGGGGACCACCCUCCAAGGCUAAAUACUCGGCAGCUACCGAUAGCGCAUAGUACCGUGAGGGAAAGGUGAAAAGGACCCCGGGAGGGGAGUGAAAGAGAACCUGAAACCGUGGACCUGCAAGCGGUCAAAGCCCUUAGGGGUGAUGGCGUGCCUUUUGUAGAAUGAGCCUGCGAGUUACCGUAUGCGGCGAGGUUAAGGGAGAGAAGUCCCGGAGCCGCAGGGAAACCGAGUCUGAACAGGGCGUUCAGUCGCAUGCGGUAGACCCGAAGCCAAGUGAUCUAGCCAUGGCCAGGCUGAAGCAGGAGUGAAAUCCUGUGGAGGGCCGAACCUAAAUCCGCUGAAAAGGGUUGGGAUGAGCUGUGGCUUGGAGCGAAAGACUAAACAAACUUGGAGAUAGCUGGUACUCUCCGAAAUAGCUUUAGGGCUAGCGUCGCACCGAUUGUCGCGGAGGUAGAGCACUGGAUAGGUGAGGGCCCGUCACUGGGUACCGAGCUUAACCAAACUCCGAAUACCGCGAUACAAUGUGCGGCAGUCAGACGGCGACUGAUAAGGGCCGUCGUCAAGAGGGAAACAGCCCGGACCGCCGGCUAAGGUCCCAAAGUCGUGCUGAGUGGGAAAGGAAGUAUGAUUGCACAGACAGCCAGGAGGUUGGCUCAGAAGCAGCCACCCCUUCAAAGAGUGCGUAACAGCUCACUGGUCGAGUAGUCAUGCGCCGAUAAUGUAACGGGGCUAAGCACGGCACCGAAGCCGCGGGACAGCAUCAAUUGUGGUGCUGUCGGUAGGAGAGCAUUCCGUGAACGGAAGAAGCAGGGGCGUAAGCCCCUGUGGACGGGACGGAAGAGAGAAUGCAGGCAUGAGUAACGAAAAGACGGGUGAGAUCCCCGUCCGCCGAAAGCCCGAGGUUUCCAGGGUAAAGGUAAUCUACCCAAGGGUCAGUCGGCCCCUAAGGCGAGGGCGAGAGCCGUAGUCGAUGGGAAGCGGGUCAACAUUCCCGCACCUCCCAGGGUUCCGAUGGGAUGACGCAUAGGGCGAAACGCAGCCGGGCGACGGUAGUCCCGGCCGAAACGGCGAGCCGAUGAGGCACCCAGGCAAAUCCGGGUGGCGAGGUGAGCCGCGAGCGAGCUGCACUACGGUGGAGCGAAGUGCGCGUAGUCGUCGUGCCGAGAAACAAUCCCUAAGGAACGGCCCUGGGGGACCGUACCGAAAACCGACACAGGUGGGCGAGCUGAGAAUGCGAAGGCGCACGGAAGAAUUCGCGUUAAGGAACUCGGCAAAAUGCAUACGUAACUUCGGGAAAAGUAUGGCCCCCGCAAGGGGGUUGCAGAGAAACGGCCCAUGCGACUGUUUACCAAAAACACAGGUCCAUGCGAACCGGCAACGGGAAGUAUAUGGACUGACACCUGCCCGGUGCUGGAAGGUCAAGAGGAGUUGUCAGAGCAAUCGAAGCAGCGAAUCCAAGCCCCAGUAAACGGCGGCCGUAACUAUAACGGUCCUAAGGUAGCGAAAUUCCUUGUCGGGUAAGUUCCGACC
rnacentral:rRNA from 1 species